AUUGAACGCUGGCGGCAUGCCUUACACAUGCAAGUCGAACGGCAGCACGGGAGCAAUCCUGGUGGCGAGUGGCGAACGGGUGAGUAAUAUAUCGGAACGUGCCCGGUCGUGGGGAUAACGUAGCGAAAGCUACGCUAAUACCGCAUACGAUCUACGGAUGAAAGCGGGGGAGUCGCAAGACCUCGCGCGAUUGGAGCGGCCGAUAUCAGAUUAGGUAGUUGGUGAGGUAAAGGCUCACCAAGCCGACGAUCUGUAGCUGGUCUGAGAGGACGACCAGCCACACUGGGACUGAGACACGGCCCAGACUCCUACGGGAGGCAGCAGUGGGGAAUUUGGACAAUGGGCGGCAAAGCCUGAUCCAGCAAUGCCGCGUGCAGGAUGAAGGCCUUGGUUGUAACUAGCUUUGUACGGUAACGAAACGUGAGCUCUAAUAACUAGUUGUCUAAUAGUACGGUACCGUAAGAAUAAGAC
rnacentral:rRNA from 1 species